AUACGGAGGGUCCGAGCGUUAUCCGGAUUUAUGGGUUUAAAGGGUGCGCAGGCGGACUAAUAAGUCAGAGGUGAAAUUUUGCAGCUUAACUGUAAACGUGCCUUUGAUACUGUUAGACUAGAGUUUAAGGGACGUAACCGGAAUGUGAUGUGUAGCGGUGAAAUGCAUAGAUAUGUCACAGAACGCCGAUCGUGAAGACAGGUUACGAACUUAAUACUGACGCUCAGGCACGAAAGUGUGGGGAUC
rnacentral:rRNA from 1 species